rnacentral:rRNA from 1 species
GGGUUGUGAGGUUAAGCGACUAAGCGUACACGGUGGAUGCCCUGGCAGUCAGAGGCGAUGAAGGACGUGCUAAUCUGCGAUAAGCGUCGGUAAGGUGAUAUGAACCGUUAUAACCGGCGAUUUCCGAAUGGGGAAACCCAGUGUGUUUCGACACACUAUCAUUAACUGAAUCCAUAGGUUAAUGAGGCGAACCGGGGGAACUGAAACAUCUAAGUACCCCGAGGAAAAGAAAUCAACCGAGAUUCCCCCAGUAGCGGCGAGCGAACGGGGAGCAGCCCAGAGCCUGAAUCAGUGUGUGUGUUAGUGGAAGCGUCUGGAAAGGCGCGCGAUACAGGGUGACAGCCCCGUACACAAAAAUGCACAUGCUGUGAGCUCGAUGAGUAGGGCGGGACACGUGGUAUCCUGUCUGAAUAUGGGGGGACCAUCCUCCAAGGCUAAAUACUCCUGACUGACCGAUAGUGAACCAGUACCGUGAGGGAAAGGCGAAAAGAACCCCGGCGAGGGGAGUGAAAAAGAACCUGAAACCGUGUACGUACAAGCAGUGGGAGCACGCUUAGGCGUGUGACUGCGUACCUUUUGUAUAAUGGGUCAGCGACUUAUAUUCUGUAGCAAGGUUAACCGAAUAGGGGAGCCGAAGGGAAACCGAGUCUUAACUGGGCGUUAAGUUGCAGGGUAUAGACCCGAAACCCGGUGAUCUAGCCAUGGGCAGGUUGAAGGUUGGGUAACACUAACUGGAGGACCGAACCGACUAAUGUUGAAAAAUUAGCGGAUGACUUGUGGCUGGGGGUGAAAGGCCAAUCAAACCGGGAGAUAGCUGGUUCUCCCCGAAAGCUAUUUAGGUAGCGCCUCGUGAAUUCAUCUCCGGGGGUAGAGCACUGUUUCGGCAAGGGGGUCAUCCCGACUUACCAACCCGAUGCAAACUGCGAAUACCGGAGAAUGUUAUCACGGGAGACACACGGCGGGUGCUAACGUCCGUCGUGAAGAGGGAAACAACCCAGACCGCCAGCUAAGGUCCCAAAGUCAUGGUUAAGUGGGAAACGAUGUGGGAAGGCCCAGACAGCCAGGAUGUUGGCUUAGAAGCAGCCAUCAUUUAAAGAAAGCGUAAUAGCUCACUGGUCGAGUCGGCCUGCGCGGAAGAUGUAACGGGGCUAAACCAUGCACCGAAGCUGCGGCAGCGACGCUUAUGCGUUGUUGGGUAGGGGAGCGUUCUGUAAGCCUGUGAAGGUGUGCUGUGAGGCAUGCUGGAGGUAUCAGAAGUGCGAAUGCUGACAUAAGUAACGAUAAAGCGGGUGAAAAGCCCGCUCGCCGGAAGACCAAGGGUUCCUGUCCAACGUUAAUCGGGGCAGGGUGAGUCGACCCCUAAGGCGAGGCCGAAAGGCGUAGUCGAUGGGAAACAGGUUAAUAUUCCUGUACUUGGUGUUACUGCGAAGGGGGGACGGAGAAGGCUAUGUUGGCCGGGCGACGGUUGUCCCGGUUUAAGCGUGUAGGCUGGUUUUCCAGGCAAAUCCGGAAAAUCAAGGCUGAGGCGUGAUGACGAGGCACUACGGUGCUGAAGCAACAAAUGCCCUGCUUCCAGGAAAAGCCUCUAAGCAUCAGGUAACAUCAAAUCGUACCCCAAACCGACACAGGUGGUCAGGUAGAGAAUACCAAGGCGCUUGAGAGAACUCGGGUGAAGGAACUAGGCAAAAUGGUGCCGUAACUUCGGGAGAAGGCACGCUGAUAUGUAGGUGAAGUCCCUCGCGGAUGGAGCUGAAAUCAGUCGAAGAUACCAGCUGGCUGCAACUGUUUAUUAAAAACACAGCACUGUGCAAACACGAAAGUGGACGUAUACGGUGUGACGCCUGCCCGGUGCCGGAAGGUUAAUUGAUGGGGUUAGCGCAAGCGAAGCUCUUGAUCGAAGCCCCGGUAAACGGCGGCCGUAACUAUAACGGUCCUAAGGUAGCGAAAUUCCUUGUCGGGUAAGUUCCGACCUGCACGAAUGGCGUAAUGAUGGCCAGGCUGUCUCCACCCGAGACUCAGUGAAAUUGAACUCGCUGUGAAGAUGCAGUGUACCCGCGGCAAGACGGAAAGACCCCGUGAACCUUUACUAUAGCUUGACACUGAACAUUGAGCCUUGAUGUGUAGGAUAGGUGGGAGGCUUUGAAGUGUGGACGCCAGUCUGCAUGGAGCCGACCUUGAAAUACCACCCUUUAAUGUUUGAUGUUCUAACGUGGACCCGUAAUCCGGGUUGCGGACAGUGUCUGGUGGGUAGUUUGACUGGGGCGGUCUCCUCCUAAAGAGUAACGGAGGAGCACGAAGGUUGGCUAAUCCUGGUCGGACAUCAGGAGGUUAGUGCAAUGGCAUAAGCCAGCUUGACUGCGAGCGUGACGGCGCGAGCAGGUGCGAAAGCAGGUCAUAGUGAUCCGGUGGUUCUGAAUGGAAGGGCCAUCGCUCAACGGAUAAAAGGUACUCCGGGGAUAACAGGCUGAUACCGCCCAAGAGUUCAUAUCGACGGCGGUGUUUGGCACCUCGAUGUCGGCUCAUCACAUCCUGGGGCUGAAGUAGGUCCCAAGGGUAUGGCUGUUCGCCAUUUAAAGUGGUACGCGAGCUGGGUUUAGAACGUCGUGAGACAGUUCGGUCCCUAUCUGCCGUGGGCGCUGGAGAACUGAGGGGGGCUGCUCCUAGUACGAGAGGACCGGAGUGGACGCAUCACUGGUGUUCGGGUUGUCAUGCCAAUGGCACUGCCCGGUAGCUAAAUGCGGAAGAGAUAAGUGCUGAAAGCAUCUAAGCACGAAACUUGCCCCGAGAUGAGUUCUCCCUGACUCCUUGAGAGUCCUGAAGGAACGUUGAAGACGACGACGUUGAUAGGCCGGGUGUGUAAGCGCAGCGAUGCGUUGAGCUAACCGGUACUAAUGAACCGUGAGGCUUAACCUUACAACGCCGAAG